rnacentral:tRNA from 1 species
UCACCUCGUGGUCCAAGGGCGCGGCCCCUGCCCGGGGCCGGGCGGCGGAGGCUCCGGUACCUCCGGGGCGUG